AUUGAACGCUGGCGGCAGGCCUAACACAUGCAAGUCGAACGAGCGGCGGACGGGUGAGUAAUGUCUGGGAAACUGCCCGAUGGAGGGGGAUAACUACUGGAAACGGUAGCUAAUACCGCAUACCAUCGGAUGUGCCCAGAUGGGAUUAGCUAGUAGGUGGGGUAAAGGCUCACCUAGGCGACGAUCCCUAGCUGGUCUGAGAGGAUGACCAGCCACACUGGAACUGAGACACGGUCCAGACUCCUACGGGAGGCAGCAGUGGGGAAUAUUGCACAAUGGGCGCAAGCCUGAUGCAGCCAUGCCGCGUGUAUGAAGAAGGCCUUAGGGUUGUAAAGUACUUUCAGCGGGGAGGCGUUACCCGCAGAAGAAGCACCGGCUAACUCCGUGCCAGCAGCCGCGGUAAUAC
rnacentral:rRNA from 1 species